GGCAACCUGCUCGGGUCCCCUGCCACACUAUGGAAGCUUUGUUCUUUUGCUCUUUGCAAUAAAUCUUGCUACUGCUUACUCUUUGGGUCCACACUGCCUUCAUGAGCUGUAACACUCACCGGGAAGGUCUGCAACUUCACUCCUGAGCCAGCGAGACCACGAGCCCACUGGAAGGAACAAACUCCCGCACGCCGCCUUUAAGAACUGUAACACUCACAGAGAGGGCCCGCGGCUUCAUUCCCGAAGUCAGUGAGACCAAGAACCAACCAAUUCCGGGCACGUUUCUUUUUCUGCAUCCGCUGCUCUGUUAAGUGAUCACCACAUUCAUUGUUCUCGUUUCUAUUAUUUCUGAAAAAAAUCUUCAGGAUUCUGCUUGUGGGAGUGGAUGACAUUUUUACAGUGUUUACAGACACAAAAUGAACAAGAUGUCUGUGGCAACCCUCAGACCAUUGACGCCUUCUCUCCUAUGUAUCAAAUCACACAUUUGGACGUUGACUGAACCCUCACAUGUCAGAUGCUCAAUAUUGAGGUAUAGUAAAAGGGAGCAUGAACUUGAGAAAAUACGCUUUCAACACAAAGCUGUAAUAAUAUAAGGUCAAAUAAGAUUCUGCAUUGGAGAUAGAAAACUCUGAAGGAAGCUUUAUCUAUUCCAGAAUGUCAUAUAGCUGGUAUAAGAAAGAACACUAAUCAUUCCUAAGGAAGAAAAUUAACAACGCCGUGAGUUAUAAUAUCUGGCUGAAACUGAAGGAGCUCUGUGUAAUUAAAAGUCCUUUCUGCCCUGCCUGGCCAUGGUUCUGUAUGCAUUGAUGUCUUACAAACUGAAAAAAAAAAAAGUUAUUUUCUCAUCUCCAUUCCCUAGCAUAGACAUAUUACAUGAUGUGGAAUUGAAACAAGAAAAUUGCAUUUUAAUCUUCCACUCAGAACAUAGAAGAAUGAAACAAACAAACAAAAAAUACUCUGUUGUCUUAGUCUACCACAAGCAAAAUCUGGCAGUCUCUUUGCUUUGGUAAUGGCAUAAAUUCCUUGAUUAGCCUAUAGGAUAGCCCAUUGUUCUGCUCUUUUAGUGGAAUAGCUAGCAAUUGCUUUGUCAUUUUUUCCCCAUGGUUCCUACCAUUAGUGUUGGGAGGUUUCUUCUUUGUUUUUUUGAGAAAGAGGAAAAAGUUGUUAUAUUUUCAUAAAAACUUAAAUUUCAUCCAAAAUACUUGAUUUUCAUGAAGAAAGUAAAUAUCUCUGCCCCUAGUAUACAUGUGUGGAAACUUUCAGAACCCUGAAGAUAAAUACAUUUCAAACAAGUGAGUUUGAAAAUAUCAAUAGCAAAAUAGGAAGUAAGCUAAUUAGAGAGGUAAGAACUAGAUGGCUUAGCAUUCCAAUAAUAAUAUAUAACCUUCUUUAAGAGUAAAAUCUUGGUCAAAAGACAGAUGAAAACUCCAAUAAAAUUUCACAACUCAUGGAAAAGUCUAUCUUCGUAAUUCUUUAUGAAGCAAACUAUAUAUAUAUAAAACAUAUAUAUAUAUAUAUUUGAGACAGAGUUUCGCUCUUGUUGCCCAGGCUGGAGUGCAGUGGUGCGAUCUUGGCUCAUGGCAGCCUCUGUCUCCCGGGUUCAAGUGAUUCUCCUGACACAGCCUUGUAAGUGGUUGGGAUUACAGGUGUGUGCUAUCAUGCCCGGCUAAUUCUGUAUUUUGAGUAGAGACGGGGGUUUCUCCACGUUGGUCAGGGUGGUCUCGAACUCCCGACCUCAGGUGAUACCCUCGCCUCGACCUCUCAGAAUGCUGGGAUUAGAGGCUUGAGCCACCACGCCUAGCUGCAAACAUAUUUCUUAUAUUUUCCAACAUCACAAAAUUUUACUGAGCUAUGAUAUGUACUAAAAGCUGAUAAAGAUGGUGUUGUUAUAUUUAACAGUACUCUGAAUUUUGUUGCCAUUUCUAAAAUUGUAUUCAGAGGAAAUUAUGCCCAUGUUUCUAUAGAGAGAAUUUUAAAAAAUACAUGAGCAUAGAAAUUUGAGCAACAUUGAUUAAGGUUCCAUAAAAUUGAAGCAGGAAAUAGUAUAGAAUAUACUUUUGCUCACUCUAUUAAAAUAAGUCUCUCAUAAGUAUGCUUCAGUUAAGUUCGAAGGGUAGGAAAAUUAACCUGGAACGGGGCAUUCAGAUAUAAGUAAGUUUAUUUUGGAGAAAUUUCUAUGUCAGCUGAGAUUAUUUUCUAUAAAAACAGAAGAAAGAUGAAUAUCACUAAUGAUAGCACAAACCACUAAUUAGAAGGCAGUAUGUAGAAUUUUUCUGGAAAAAUAAAACUAUAAAUGACAAAUUAAUUUUAGCAGAAAUUGUAAGAAAAUGCAAUGAGGGUAAUAGGAAUGUUAUCUUUGAAUACAAUGGACAGCAAAUUGUAAACUGAAUGUAUUCACUAACACAAAAGAGAAAAUUACUUUUAAUGAUUGCCUAUUGUUUCUCUCUACAUAAAGUUUGAGUUUCAUGUCUGAUGACCUUAUGGCUUUUUAAAUAGACACUUCAUGUGACAUCAUUAAAUUACUUUAUACAGUAUUACUACAUUUCUAUGGUAAAAUUUAAGCAAGAGAUUAAUUUUGAAAGACUUUCAGAGAAAGACUUGUAAAUACAGACAUGAGACAUAAAUCUGAUGUGGGCC
rnacentral:lncRNA from 1 species